rnacentral:lncRNA from 1 species
UCUUCUAAUCUGAUUUUUUCAAUUUAUGGUCUUUUUAAGGUAGUAGAAGAGUCUCUACAACCUAGAAGGUAAAAUUACUAACUAACUUUCAACUUACUAACUAUUAAGAUAAGAAAAUAACCUAAGAGGCUUUUAUAAAAUCCAUGUUUAGACACUUUAAAUUAUAAUUGAACUAAGAUAAUUAGAUAUUAAUUAAAAAUUCAAUUUUGAUUAUAAUUUCACUAUAUGAUCAUAUUACAUCACGACAAUAGUCUAUACAUAUGUCCUACCACCAAAACUUCUUUUAUUCCAAAUAUUGAUUUUAUCUCCAAUAAGGUUAAAUGAAUUUCCUCUUAUCUUGUCAAAAUCUUCUC